UAGGGAAUCUUCCACAAUGGACGCAAGUCUGAUGGAGCAACGCCGCGUGAGUGAAGAAGGGUUUCGGCUCGUAAAGCUCUGUUGUUGGUGAAGAAGGACAGGGGUAGUAACUGACCUUUGUUUGACGGUAAUCAAUUAGAAAGUCACGGCUAACUACGUGCCAGCAGCCGCGGUAAUACGUAGGUGGCAAGCGUUGUCCGGAUUUAUUGGGCGUAAAGCGAGUGCAGGCGGCUCGAUAAGUCUGAUGUGAAAGCCUUCGGCUCAACCGGAGAAUUGCAUCAGAAACUGUCGAGCUUGAGUACAGAAGAGGAGAGUGGAACUCCAUGUGUAGCGGUGAAAUGCGUAGAUAUAUGGAAGAACACCGGUGGCGAAGGCGGCUCUCUGGUCUGUUACUGACGCUGAGGCUCGAAAGCAUGGGUAGCGAACAGG
rnacentral:rRNA from 2 species